rnacentral:rRNA from 1 species
CAGCAGCCACGGUAAUACGGAGGGUGCAAGCGUUAAUCGGAAUUACUGGGCGUAAAGCGCACGCAGGCGGUGAGUUAAGUCUGCUGUGAAAUCCCCGGGCUCAACCUGGGAAUGGCAGUGGAUACUGGCUCGCUAGAGUGUGUCAGAGGAUGGUGGAAUUCCCGGUGUAGCGGUGAAAUGCGUAGAGAUCGGGAGGAACAUCAGUGGCGAAGGCGGCCAUCUGGGACAACACUGACGCUGAGGCACGAACGCGUGGGGAGCAAACAGGAUUAGAUACCCCCGUAGUCCCUGUCUCUUAUAC